UACGUAGGGGGCGAGCGUUGUCCGGAAUCAUUGGGCGUAAAGAGCUCGUAGGCGGUUCAGCAAGUCGGCUGUGAAAUUCCGAGGCUCAACCUCGGAACUGCAGUCGAUACUGCUGUGACUCGAGUCCGGUAGAGGAGAAUGGAAUUCCCGGUGUAGCGGUGAAAUGCGCAGAUAUCAGGAGGAACACCGACGGCGAAGGCAGCACUCUGGGCCGGUACUGACGCUGAGGAGCGAAAGCAUGGGGAGCGAACAGG
rnacentral:rRNA from 1 species